rnacentral:sRNA from 1 species
CCGACGUCAGCGACCCUCAGCCCUGGGCGGCCGGAUUGUUCAGGCGGAAUAAUAAAACCUGCCAAUCCGGGGAAGGACAAAGGGUCUUACGCCUGGACUUGGUGCUCUCCGGUGACAGUUCUGCUCAGAAUCCUCAGACAGCAGUUCUGCCUGUCGUCCACCUGACCACCUGACGAGGCAGCGUCCAAGACAAGCAUCUGGCUCUUUGAUGAGGAAAGGGGGACGAGAUUGUGCUCUUUGGAGGCCCGUGCACAGCUGGUUUCUGAACGAAGGCCUUUUAGAAAGGACAUUACAAGAACGACUCCGAUCUUUACCCUCAGAGAGAUCCUCCGAACUCCAAAGGUCCAGCACGGUAGCCGCAGUGAGGAAACCAGUUAAAAUGUAGAGGAUGAGCCAGUGGGUUUUGUUUCUCUUGGCUGGGUGGGUCCCACAGUGCUGUGUACUAGGACCUGGGAACGCUCAGGCUUGUACGAGCAGGAGCUAAAACUGAACAUGUUUUAAUAUUGCUCCUCCUUGCCUGUCGUCCCAGACACUUGAGCGUCUGAGGAAGGAGGGCUGCUCGACCUGGGAAAUGUGUGACCACCAAGACCUCCAAAAGAGGAAAGAGGAAAGGAAAUAGUAAAAUGGAGGACUGGGGACUAUAACUGAGUUGGCAGAGUGUUGGUGCUGCAGGUAUGAUCCGAGCCUCGUACCAGGUGCGGUGGGUAGCACAGGCCUGGGGUCCUCAUGCUCAGAGGGAGUUCAGGGGAGAAUCAGAAACUCCGGGUCAUCCUCAGCCGAGGAGAAAAGUCCAAGCCAGCUCGAGCCACCUGAGAUUUUUGUCUAAAAAAAAAGAGAAAAGAAAAGAAAAGAAAAAAAGAACUGUUUUAAAAGAAAAGAAGAGGGAAAGGGAGGGGGUGAGAAAGAAGUGUUUCACACACAUGAUGAAAAGGGAAGCAGUCGUUUUAUCCCAACAUUUAAAAGAGAAAUCCCAGUGACCACGUGUGAUAACUAUCCCACCGAGUUAUUUAAUUAUUUAUGCUGCUUAGUUUUAGUUAGAAAGUUCUAGCCUGGCCUGUAUUUUAUAAGGGAAUUAAAACCAUAGUGAAGACAUUGACAUUUUUUUUAAACUGUUGAAAUGAAACAAGGAGACUGAAGAAAACACGAGUGUGGCCUUGUUGAAACAGCACUGAGACUGUUUGAUUGGAAAUAUCAUGGAAGAUGUAAGUUGCUCUUAAAUUUCCCGUUUUAUCAGGGCAUCGUGACACUCAGGGCAAUGACAGGAAAGGUGGGAAGGGGACAGGCUUGGGAGUGUUUCCCAGACAAGGCAACUUCAAUAGAAUGGUAUAAAUAAAUGCAUACAUACAUACAUACAUACACAUUUUCUCCGUGUGGGUUUAUAAGGGGAGAAGAACUUUAAUUACGCCUCAAAUCUAUUGCUAAAUCUUCAUUUAGGAAUAUGUAGUGACGAUUUCUUUGAAGAAAGUUGGCUCCUGCAGACUACGUAUGUAAGUUGCUUAAUAAUCUCCAAGCACAAGUGAUAGUCUGCAGAGCAAUCAACAAGCCUACUGUGGCUCCUUCAGACCGUCUAAAGCAGCAGUCCUCAGCCUUCCUAAUGUCCCCCCAACAAAAAGUUAUUUAUAUCAUUGAAUUAUUAAUAGGUACAAAAAAGUGUAUACAUGAGACAAUGGGUAUUUACAUGAGAAGUCGCUACUGAGCACGUUAAAAUUAUAUAUUCUGCCAAAAACAGUGAUCCUAUUUAAAAUCAAUUAUUGCUCCCCCCAAGAGAAAGGAAAUGACUAUUUACGGAAAGAGGAAUUAAAACCAUACAGCAUAAUUCAUUUUA